GCAAAGUGCAAAUUUGCAGUAGCACCCUAUCGGGUGCCGGGGCUUCUCCCGUUU
rnacentral:tRNA from 1 species